rnacentral:rRNA from 1 species
UGAGGAAUAUUGGUCAAUGGGCGAGAGCCUGAACCAGCCAAGUAGCGUGCAGGAUGACGGCCUUAUGGGUUGUAAACUGCUUUUAUGUGGGGAUAAAGUGCGUGACGUGUCAUGCAUUGCAGGUACCACAUGAAUAAGGACCGGCUAAUUCCGUGCCAGCAGCCGCGGUAAUACGGAAGGUCCGGGCGUUAUCCGGAUUUAUUGGGUUUAAAGGGAGCGUAGGCUGUCUAUUAAGCGUGUUGUGAAAUUUACCGGCUCAACCGGUGGCUUGCAGCGCGAACUGGUCGACUUGAGUAUGCAGGAAGUAGGCGGAAUUCAUGGUGUAGCGGUGAAAUGCUUAGAUAUCAUGACGAACUCCGAUUGCGCAGGCAGCUUACUGUAGCAUAACUGACGCUGAUGCUCGAAAGUGCGGGUAUCAAACAGG